GGCCAGACUCCUACGGGAGGCAGCAGUGGGGGAUAUUGCACAAUGGGGGAAACCCUGAUGCAGCGACGCCGCGUGGGUGAAGAAGUCUUUCGGUAUGUAAAGCCCUAUCAGCAGGGAAGAAAGAAGACGGUACCUGACUAAGAAGCCCCGGCUAACUACGUGCCAGCAGCCGCGGUAAUACGUAGGGGGCGAGCGUUAUCCGGAUUCACUGGGUGUAAAGGGAGCGUAGACGGCCGUGCAAGCCAGGAGUGAAAGCCCGGGGCCCAACCCCGGGACUGCUCUUGGAACUGUGCGGCUGGAGUGCGGGAGGGGCAGGCGGAAUUCCUGGUGUAGCGGUGAAAUGCGUAGAUAUCAGGAGGAACACCGGCGGCGAAGGCGGCCUGCUGGACCGCGACUGACGUUGAGGCUCGAAAGCGUGGGGAGCGAACAGGAUUAGAUACCCCAGUAUAA
rnacentral:rRNA from 1 species